rnacentral:rRNA from 1 species
GUGCCAGCCGCCGCGGUAAUACGUAGGGGGCGAGCGUUGUCCGGAGUUACUGGGCGUAAAGCGCACGCAGGCGGUCGUGUAAGUUUGGGGUUACAGCUCCCGGCUCAACUGGGAGAGCGCCUUGAAGACUGCAGGACUUGAGGGCCAGAGAGGGACACAGAAUUCCGGGUGUAGUGGUGAAAUGCGUAGAUAUCCGGAGGAAUACCAAAGGCGAAGGCAGUGUCCUGGCUGGUGACUGACGCUGAGGUGCGAAAGCUAGGGGAGCGAACGGGAUUAGAUACCCGGGUAGUCC